AAUCAAACUCAGAAACCCUAAUUUCCCAAAUUGGAAACCCUAAAUUUGCAAUCAGAAAUCCUAACCCUCCCCCACUCUCCUCAGCGCCAUCACCCUCAUCACAAGCGUACAGACUCACCCUCUCUCCCUCAGCUUCACCGGCGCACACACAUACACUCAGGACACCACACUCAUUCAGCCCACACCCCUUCUGUCACACACCCACGCCUAGUGAACGGAGCUGCACCACGCCCAGCCCGCCUCGCCAUCGCCGCCAUCAUUAUCGCCGACAAAAAGGACGCCGUCGUCAGCCCCGCGAGAUGCCAUCCGCGUCACUGCCGUCAAAGCUCCGCGACGCUGCCGCCAUUUCGCGAGGAAAGGAUGUUCGCAGAGGGAGAGACGAGCACAAACCAGAUCAGGGGAGAAGCCGCCGUCGCCCUCACUGCGCCGCCGUCGUCUUCGUCACAGAGCCAGCCACCACCACUUAUAGCAAAUUCAGAGAGAUGGAACUCGGGAAGAGAGGAGACAGAGAGCUCGCAGGCUGAGCUGGGGUUCAACCACCGUGCCCAGCCGUGCUCGCGUCGUCGGUGCCGUUUUCGUCGAAACUGCUGCCGUGUUUGAGGGGCUAUGCUUGGCCGCCGUUGUACUGCCCUGCUUCACCGUGGCUGAGCUCCGCUACUCCCUGCUCUUUGGGCUUGUGAUGCUGAUGCGGGAAUUACUACAGGAAGAGAAGAACACGAAGAGGAGAAACUGGGAUCGUUGUUGUCGCCAUCGCUGCUGAAGACCAGCCACCGCGCCGAGCUUUUACCGUCACCAUUCUGCCCGGUGUCGCCAGCACUGAAGUCGGCCGCUACCACCGUCGAGCCUUGUUGGAACUGGUGUUGCUUUUGGAGGUUUGGAAGGGAGGCUUGCUCGGAUUUGCUUCUGCUCUUGGUUCUCGCAGCUGCCGGAGCCUUUGCCACCAUCAGAGCUGCCAUUGAAGCUAUUGAUUUGGUUCAAAUUCCUCCAUUUUUGAGACCUGCUGCAUCUCUAUUUUCCCUGUUUACUGCUACAACUAUCAUAGGGGAUACUGUUGAUGUCAUCAGGAAACUGUUAGAGCUGCUGUUGUUGCUGAUGCGAGUUUGAACGAAGUUGGAGCCACGUUUAAUUUUGUGGAUUUCGACUAACUGAGGUUCGAAGACACAGUGUGAAGCUGGGGCGAUUGUUAGACCUUAUUUAUGAGUUAAGUUUUUGAAUUGAGUUGCUUUCAUAGAAUUCCCUCGCCCUUGUUACUUUAGUUUUUAUUUUACACAGAGGGAUAUGAUUUGUAUCUAAGUUUUAUUUGAAAUCUUUUGUAUGACAGAUAUUAUUAUUAGUAAUUAUGUGAUUAUUAUUA